CUCCACGGGUCCUAUCACCUGCCCAGGGGCUCCAGCGCCACCCAUCGUAAGCAUUACAAAUAGCUUUCAACCUCAACCCAUUUCAGUCCAAGGAAACACAUGUGGACAGUUCAAACAUGGAUCAAACAAGAGGCAGCAAGAAGAUGAGCCUCACAUAAUUACAGAAGACUGAGAGACGGUUGGAGUGGAUAGAAGAGAAGUGAAGUGGAGAAAGAAGACUGAGAGACGGUUGGAGUGGAUAGAAGAGAAGAGAAGAGGAGAGAAGAGGGGAGCAAAGAGGAAAUGAGAGGGGAUCCCAUCACACAGGAUCUCAAACACAGGAUUCAGUUGUUUUUUCAAACUUGUCUUUGAAGUUUGUUACUGCAAGACUGAAUAAAAUAUAUCCUAUA